AGGGGCUCCUAUAGUCGAUAUGGCUUUGAAUACCAACUUGUAACGCCUAAGAUGCAGUUCUAUCCCAAUCACGUGAUGAACUCAUGAUUGGGGCAAAAUUGCAUUUUAGACACGUAGCAAGGUGAUACAUAGAUUCAUACAACCGAGUGAAAAGGAAGAAUAAGAGAAUCCAGGCAUCACUUGCCCCAGAAUAGCAUAAAUAUGACAAUCAUAAUACAAUCAUCCAUACAUAUUGUAGCGUCCGACUACGGACUAGAUUAAAAGGAAAACCACCCUGCUACUAAGCCCACAGAUACUCUGACAAGGUCCUUUAUUGAUCGUCUGUAUAAGUAACAUAUAGACGGCCAUGGUCUUCGUCAAACUCCCACUGGAGCUAAGUGGCAUCUCCUGCAUCAGACUCAACGGUACCUGCAACUAUGUCUGUAGUAUUCUGUGAGCCAAGAGGAAUCAACAAUCAUAUCACCCACGGUAUCAAGACUAAUAAUGCUUAAAAUGGUUAAGGUAUGGUUAAGUGAUGGAGUUGCUGCAAGCGCUAAGCAUAUGUAUGGUGGCUAACUUACCAAUACCAGAUCAAGAUGAGAAGCUACGCAACGGUCGCAAACUAGUACUGAUCAAGAAGUGAUCCUGAACUACUUAUGUUCAAACAUAACCCCACCGUGUUCUCUUCCCGAACCCUUGUUGAAAAGAUACCAUCACGGUUACACAUGUUUAGUGUCAAGUUCACUACAAUCGGAUAUUAAAAACUCCCAUCUGCCACAUAACCGCGGGCACGACUCUCGAAAGUUUAAACCCUGCAGGAGUGUCCCUACUUUACCCAUGACAAGCUCACGAUCGAUGGAGACAAUCUUCCAUCGCGAGACAACCCGGCUAUUCUUGGAAUGACAUUGCACAAGCCCUUCAGAGAACGGAAAACUAUGCCAAGGAGAUCUCCCGGUCAGUCAGAUCCGUGUCCAGAGUCGCGUACUCUCUACCUACAGACUCAUCCGUCUAUGCGAAGUGGACAAUAGCCAAAAGACCUCGAGUUUCCCCGAGGCGGCACCGCCAUCUGCUAGGUAGGUGGAUCAACACUCAUGUCGAGCACAGGCCCGGGGGGUUGAUUAAGAAUCCUUAGGUUAAUUACUCCCUAUGCAGAUUUUGGUUGUUAUUAGGCAAAUGGUAAAACCAAUGUUGGAUCUCCUCGGGAAAGCUUUACUUUAGGCAAAGAGACAAGGCUGGCCCAUAAACCCCGACCAUGUUAGGAACGCAAAAUCAAGGAACAUAACACCGGUAUGACAGAAACUAAGGCGAUAAGAGUGGAACGAAACAUUGAGCAAAAGACCAAGCCAUCCACCCUUUACCAAGUAUAUAGGUGCUUUAAUUAAAUAAGAGAUAUUGUGAUAUCCCAACAUAUCCAUGUUCCAACAUGGAACAACCUACACGGCACCUGCAACUAGCAACGCUAUAAGAGGGGCUGAGCAAAAGCGGUAACAUAAUCAAACAACGGUUUGCUAGGAAGGGUGGUUAGAGGCUUUCAUGGAAACAUGGGAGGUUAUAUAAACAAGUGGGAGGUAGCAAGACAUAGCGAUAGAACGGACAACUAGCAAGCAAAGAUAGAAGUGAUAUCGGGGGUAAUGAUCAUCUUGCCUGAAAUGUCCUUAGUGGAAUCGGUAACUUGCUCCUCAUAAAUGUACUCAGCAGGGUCCUCGUACUCAAUAUUGUCUCCUGGAACUACCAACAAGAAGCACAAGCAUACAGUAAACAACAAGGCAUGGCAAUGAACAUAUACUUCAUUCAACUCUAACGUGAAUGCAUAUGAAGAAUGUUAUGCAUGGAGCUACAGUUCUACCUGAAACGAGGGUUACGACAACGGGACGGAAAGGGUGAAGACAAGAUGGACAUGGGCACACUCUUGGUAAACCAAGCAUGCCACUGGAAAGAUUGGAAGAUUUUGGUUGAAAUCGAUAAAAAGAACACGAGGAACGGAUGCACACAACUCAAACGGUGAGCAAAACAACAACAAUGCAAAACUGACAUUAACAACAACAUAACAACUUGUGUGCAAAGUUUAAAUGUGCUACGCACCCAAACAUGAAAACAAAUGGCAUGGAAGUGAAGUACAUGUCAAGCACUACAAAACAUGAUUACUGAGGUACUACUAAAACUCAUUAUAACAUGGUUAAAACAGCAUGACAAAAAUGCAAAUGGUACCAGUUUUACAGACUUGGCAGAAUUCACUGAACAUGGCAGAAACAACAUCAGGUUGCAAUGUUAAGAGCUAGCAAACUACAUGCUAUAGGAAAAUAUCAUGGCAAACAAGAUCAUGGCAUGCUAGCACUAUAUACACUUAACAAAACUCCCCCACUACACUUGCUCCAAAGAUCUACAGAAAUGAUGAUAGCAUCAAUGCAAACAUGGCAAGUGAUAUAACAGUUUUAGUGAAAAUGUCUAGCAUGGCAAAAACAGAUUCAUGAUAGCAUGUUUACAAGCUUUAUUAACUCACCACAAGGCAUAUCAUUGCAUGGAACAAAUUCUAGCAGCAAGUAGGCAUGAUGAAGAGUAUGUUUACAUACAAAGUUAACACAUAGCCUAUUUGAAUUUAAUCACAAAAGUAGACAAAACACCAACAUCAUGUGAAAUGGCAUGUGUGCAAACUUGCUCAAAUGAAGAAACUAAUGCAACCACUGGAUUCCUUUUAUUUUUCUAGCCCAAAAACAUAUAUAAUAUGUUGGGGUUGCUGUGGAAAAUCCCCCACAAAAUGCAUUAAGUUAAAUACUGCCUAAAAUGGAAUAUGUCAGAAUUGGCAAUUUCCUUAAAAGGAAAUGUCCAGAAAUGGACUAGCCAGAUUUGGAAAAGGCUGAUUAGGACAUUGCCCAAAAAGGAAAGAUUCCUUUCCUGAAAAUAGAAUAUUCCCUGGGACAAAAUAAAUAAAAGAAAAAAAACAAAAAGGACGGGGGCUGAGUCCAUGGCGGUGGGUCCUGCCUGUCAGUGUGGCUGACGAGCGGGCCCAGGUUGUCAGGUGGAGGGAAAUAAACGAAAAAGGGGUGCAGCCGUGGGGGAUCGAAUCCGGGUCGCUCGUUUGGAAUGGAGUGGCUCGAGCCACUGGGCUAUGCGGUUGUGUUCGAACAGAAGAAGUUCCCCUCUUCUUCUGAAGCGACCCUGCGAGGACGGACAGGGGAAAAACUAGGGUGGCCGGGUAGGCUCGUUGGAGCUGGUCCGGCGACCAGAAGAAGCAGCAGAGGGGUGCAACGGGUGCGCACGGAGAAACCGCACACCCGCCUGGCACUCUAUGCACCCAACAUGAUGAAGGUGAUGCCGGCCACGAGCUACAGAGGCAGCAAUGAUGAGCACGAGCGCAGCAAAGCAGAGCGCUAAGCGGGCGCCAGAGCGCACAGAUCGAACGCGCACGACAUAGGGGAUCUACCGGACAUGCGUAGCUAGGUAGAAGAUGUCAGAGCACUUGCUGGCAGCAAGGUCCGACGGCAACGAGGUCAGGCCUACAUGUACACGGCGACGGAGCGGCCUAGAGAGAGGGGAAAAAGGCCGGGGAGGAUCAAGCACUCACCACAAGCACGGUGGUGCACUUGAUUACUCGAUAGGAGGUCAGAGACGACGGGAUUUGGUCAGAGACGAACGGUGACCGAAGCGGAGGAAGAUGAAGAGGAGGGAGUCGGACUUGGCGUCCCUCGAGGCCGUAGCGGAAGUAGUCGAUGAAGUCGAUGACAGCGGACUUGACGGACAUGCUUGCAAAGGCGAAGGUCGACGAGGAGCACGCCGGCGACGACGACGUGCUCCUGGAUGCGCUCGGGGCGGGGCUGGAUCUCAAUCUAGCAACGCCCCUAGGGUUUAUUGAGAGAGGGAAAAGUGAGAGGGAGUGGGUGGCUAGCAGUUGGCGCGGAC
rnacentral:lncRNA from 1 species